AUGACAUGCAUUUCGAAAACCAUGAGUUCGAGGUGGACGAGGAGGGUGAGGGCAUUGUCGACGCACCGAAAGGAAGAGCGGGCAAUUACACCAACGCCGAUGACAUCUUACUAUGCAAUACUUGGUUGCAAGUGUCGAGGGAUCCAUCCGUUGGAGGUGAUCAAAGUAGAGAUGCUUAUUGGCUUCAGAUGA
rnacentral:rRNA from 1 species